CUACGGGUGGCAGCAGUGGGGAAUAUUGCACAAUGGGCGCAAGCCUGAUGCAGCCAUGCCGCGUGUGUGAAGAAGGCCUUCGGGUUGUAAAGCACUUUCAGCGGGGAGGAAGGCGUUAAGGUUAAUAACCUUGGCGAUUGACGUUACCCGCAGAAGAAGCACCGGCUAACUCCGUGCCAGCAGCCGCGGUAAUACGGAGGGUGCAAGCGUUAAUCGGAAUUACUGGGCGUAAAGCGCACGCAGGCGGUCUGUCGAGUCGGAUGUGAAAUCCCCGGGCUCAACCUGGGAACUGCAUUCGAAACUGGCAGGCUAGAGUCUUGUAGAGGGGGGUAGAAUUCCAGGUGUAGCGGUGAAAUGCGUAGAGAUCUGGAGGAAUACCGGUGGCGAAGGCGGCCCCCUGGACAAAGACUGACGCUCAGGUGCGAAAGCGUGGGGAGCAAACAGGAUUAGAUACCCCAGUAGUC
rnacentral:rRNA from 1 species